CAGUGUGAAUGGGAACACAUUUCCUCCAAUAAUGUUCACAGAUUCCCAACUUACUUUCAUGUUUGCAAAAUGUGUAUUUGAAAAGGCACAAGUUUGUCAAAAGAUACAGCUCCUGAAUGACCAGUGCUUUAGUCCAUGGGAGUAAAUUUGAGCAAGUUUAGAAACUGGCAAAAAUGGGAAUAGCUUGAACAAUGUUCACAUUUGACAGCUGUUUGUUUUGUGCAAUUUUCCAGUUCAUGGAAAAUCAACCGCAAACAUAAACUCAGGCAGUGGAGUGGAGUUAUGCCCGCCAGGCCCAGCACCAACAAGUAGAAGGACAAGAAUGUCUUGCCUGCAGUUGACUCACUGCUGCUGCUGCUGCAACUCUACCACCACGGGACAAAGUAUUGCUGGGACGGAGGGUGCAAUCAAGUUUCUCUGAAUGUUGCAGCUCCACGGAUAUUUGUGGUCAGCCUAAGAGUGAACCUUUGUUUUCUCUCACUUAAACGACGUGAAAUAAAUUCUCAGAAAUCAACAAUGGGAACUGUGAACUGGUCAUUCAUAAUGCUGUACAUAAAUGUCUCGUGUAGGGCUU